UACGUAGGGUGCGAGCGUUAAUCGGAAUUACUGGGCGUAAAGCGUGCGCAGGCGGUUUUGUAAGCCAGGUGUGAAAUCCCCGGGCUCAACCUGGGAAUGGCAUUUGGGACUGCAAGGCUGGAGUGCGGCAGAGGAGACUGGAAUUCCUGGUGUAGCAGUGAAAUGCGUAGAGAUGUGGAGGAACACCGAUGGCGAAGGCAGCCCCCUGGGCCAACACUGACGCUCAGGCACGAAAGCGUGGGGAGCAAACAGG
rnacentral:rRNA from 1 species